GGGGGCGAAACGGAUUCGACGGGGAUAUGUAAGCUCAGGUUGCAUGCCGAGGUUUCUACCCACCUCGUAAAAUAGGUAGAGCAAAAUAUAGUCGCAGACGACUAUUCUUACGCUGUAGCAGCUUAAUGCUACCGGUCUUUCGGCUUAUUCCUGCGCGGCCGAAAAGAACGUCGACUAGCGGGAUAGCCUACGGUGCGCGCCUGCCGCGCCGAUGGCGAAAUUCAGUAGGAUAGUGCCGAAAGCCUCUUGUUCUGGAGGGGCCAAGGCACGAUAAGCAACCAAACAGAACUAAGCAUGUAGAUAUCGGGAGGGGAGUAUUUUCGGACGCGGGUUCAACUCCCGCCGCCUCCACCA
rnacentral:tmRNA from 1 species